NUGCUCGCUUUGGCAGCACAUAUAUUAAAAUUGGAAUGAUACAGAUAAGAUUAGCAUGGCCUCUGCACAAAGAUGACACAUAAAUUUGUGAAACAUUCCAUAUUUUU
rnacentral:snRNA from 1 species